ACCAGGUGAGACCACACACACACAAUCAGUCUCUCUUCUUCACUUCAUCCCUCUCCCCCUUCUCCCUAAAUCCUCUAGGUUAUAUCUGCUGUUUUGUAGAACCCUUCAUGCAUCUGAACUGGCUGACACAGAUGGCAUAGCAUGAUCAUAGGUAUGUUUUGAUGUGAGAGAGGAAGCCUGUCCCAUCAUCGCCACCUCACAUGCUCUUAAGAUAACCAGAUUUGGGCCCCCAGUUGGCCCGAAGGUUAGGAGACACCGUGAUUGUGAUGAACUGAGAGAAUAUUAGGGUAGCACUGUAAUUCAUUAAUCGGAUGCUGUCUACCGCUGGUCUUACCACUUUCCCUUUGUCUUCCACACCUCUCUUGCCACCUCGUCUUUCUUACUACUUUAAUAAUGCACACCAUAUGUUCAUUGACGUACAGAUUGAACUUGUAUUUAUAUUAUAAUUAUAAUGCAUGUAUUAUGUAUUUAUAACACCUGGCUAAUGAACGUCUUUCAAUAAAUGUUUCACAUUCUCCA